rnacentral:rRNA from 1 species
AUACGGAGGGUGCAAGCGUUGUUCGGAAUUAUUGGGCGUAAAGCGCGUGUAGGCGGUAGGGUAAGUCAGAUGUGAAAGCCCUGGGCUCAACCCAGGAAGUGCAUUUGAAACUGCUCUGCUAGAGUGAGGGAGAGGAAAGUGGAAUUCCUGGUGUAGAGGUGAAAUUCGUAGAUAUCAGGAGGAACACCGGUGGCGAAGGCGGCUUUCUGGCCCUUCACUGACGCUGAGACGCGAGAGCGUGGGGAGCAAACAGGAUUAGAUACCCUGGUAGUCCACGCUGUAAACGAUGUUCACUAGGUGUUGGGGGUAUUGACCCCUUCAGUGCCGUAGCUAACGCAUUAAGUGAACCGCCUGGGGAGUACGGUCGCAAGAUUAAA